CCCUUCUGUGUAAUAUCUCCGCAUUUUUUACUUCUGCGUUUGACUUUUGCAGUAUUUUUUGUUUUAUGAGAAAAAUACGUCUAUUUUAUUGCUGGAUUUACUCAUGUUUCAUGAGAACUCAUGAAUUAAACUACUUCGAUAUGUGUGUCUCUAUUGAGAGCCAUGAGGAGAAAAAAGGAGAAUGAUUUUUUUCCUUUCAAAUUAUAUUUCAAACAAAGCUCUGCUUAUAUUAGUCAUAUGAAGUUUAGAGCUAAGCAUCCGAGUUAAUGCUUUGCCAAGAUGAAUGAAGUCAUUGACAGUUC